rnacentral:rRNA from 1 species
GCUUAACACAUGCAAGUCGAGGGGCAGCAUGAUUUGUAGCAAUACAGAUUGAUGGCGACCGGCGCACGGGUGAGUAACGCGUAUGCAACUUACCUAUCAGAGGGGGGUAGCCCGGCGAAAGUCGGAUUAAUACCCCAUAAAACAGGGGUCCCGCAUGGGAAUAUUUGUUAAAGAUUCAUCGCUGAUAGAUAGGCAUGCGUUCCAUUAGGCAGUUGGCGGGGUAACGGCCCACCAAACCGACGAUGGAUAGGGGUUCUGAGAGGAAGGUCCCCCACAUUGGUACUGAGACACGGACCAAACUCCUACGGGAGGCAGCAGUGGGGAAUAUUGGUCAAUGGCCGAGAGGCUGAACCAGCCAAGUCGCGUGAAGGAAGAAGGAUCUAUGGUUUGUAAACUUCUUUUAUAGGGGAAUAAAGUGGAGGACGUGUCCUUUUUUGUAUGUACCCUAUGAAUAAGCAUCGGCUAACUCCGUGCCAGCAGCCGCGGUAAUACGGAGGAUGCGAGCGUUAUCCGGAUUUAUUGGGUUUAAAGGGUGCGUAGGUGGUGAUUUAAGUCAGCGGUGAAAGUUUGUGGCUCAACCAUAAAAUUGCCGUUGAAACUGGGUUACUUGAGUGUGUUUGAGGUAGGCGGAAUGCGUGGUGUAACGGUGAAAUGCAUAGAUAUCACGCAGAACUUCGAUUUGCGAAAGGCAGGUUUAUUAAACCAUAAACUGACACUGAAGCACGAUAGCGUGGGGGAUCAAACUGGAUUAGAUACCCUGGUAUUCCACGCAGUAAACGAUGAUUAUUAGGAGUUUGCGAUACAAUGUAAGCUUUACAGCGAAAGCGUUAAGUAAUCCACCUGGGGAGUACGCCGGCAACGGUGAAACUCAAAGGAAUUGACGGGGGCCCGCACAAGCGGAGGAACAUGUGGUUUAAUUCGAUGAUACGCGAGGAACCUUACCCGGGUUUGAACGUAGUCUGACCGGAGUGGAAACACUCUUUCUAGCAAUAGCAGAUUACGAGGUGCUGCAUGGUUGUCGUCAGCUCGUGCCGUGAGGUGUCGGCUUAAGUGCCAUAACGAGCGCAACCCUUAUCACUAGUUACUAACAGGUGAAGCUGAGGACUCUGGUGAGACUGCCAGCGUAAGCUGUGAGGAAGGUGGGGAUGACGUCAAAUCAGCACGGCCCUUACAUCCGGGGCGACACACGUGUUACAAUGGCAUGGACAAAGGGCAGCUACCUGGUGACAGGAUGCUAAUCUCCAAACCAUGUCUCAGUUCGGAUCGGAGUCUGCAACUCGACUCCGUGAAGCUGGAUUCGCUAGUAAUCGCGCAUCAGCCAUGGCGCGGUGAAUACGUUCCCGGGCCUUGUACACACCGCCCGUCAAGCCAUGGGAGCCGGGGGUACCUGAAGUCCGUAACCGCAAGGAUCGGCCUAGGGUAAAACUGGUGACUGGGGCUAAAUCGUAACAAGGUAG